GGCCUACGGGUGGCAGCAGUGGGGAAUAUUGGACAAUGGGCGCAAGCCUGAUCCAGCCAUGCCGCGUGAGUGAUGAAGGCCUUAGGGUUGUAAAGCUCUUUCAGUAGGGAAGAUAAUGACGGUACCUACAGAAGAAGCCCCGGCUAACUUCGUGCCAGCAGCCGCGGUAAUACGAAGGGGGCUAGCGUUGUUCGGAUUUACUGGGCGUAAAGCGCACGUAGGCGGGUCGUUAAGUCAGGGGUGAAAUCCUGGAGCUCAACUCCAGAACUGCCUUUGAUACUGGCGACCUAGAGUCCGGAAGAGGUGAGUGGAACUCCUAGUGUAGAGGUGGAAUUCGUAGAUAUUAGGAAGAACACCAGUGGCGAAGGCGGCUCACUGGUCCGGUACUGACGCUGAGGUGCGAAAGCGUGGGGAGCAAACAGGAUUAGAUACCCGUGUAGUCUAG
rnacentral:rRNA from 1 species